rnacentral:rRNA from 1 species
AUGUCGCGGCUGGACGGCCACACCGACCUGGACGGCGUCGCCAGGCGCCUCAGCUUCUCCUCCGCCUCCCCGGGCCAGCCGCCGCCCCUCCCGCCCCGGACGCCCCGGAGGCAGCCGGCCCUCCCGCCGAUCGCGGAGGACCCAGGGGAGCAGCAGUCGUCGGCGGCGGCGACGGCGCAGACGCCCCCGUUGUCGCAGGCGCCUCGCGCGACGACGCGCGGGAGGUUCACGGUCUACACGGAGGUACCGCCGUCCGUGCCCCACACGCAGGCGGCCCCCGUCGUACCUCCCGCGCCGUCGACGUCGCCGCUCGAGACGCAGCAAGCGACCCCCGUACCCCCCGCGGCGUCGACGUCGUCGCUUCAGACGCUGCAGGCGGUCGCGGCCGCGUUGGGGCACUUGGAGCAGCAACGCCAGGCCGGGCUGCAGCAGGCGUCGGUGGCGGCGCAGCAGCAGCAGGCGUUUGUGGCCGCGUACGAGGGAUGGGAGCGGGGGCGACAAGCCGGGCUGCAGCAGCAGCCGUGGGCGGCGGCGUGGGCGCAAUUGGGGCAGAGUCGUUCACCGUGGCCGCGUCAGGCGUGGGCGCAGCCGCAGCCGGAGCAGCAGCAGCAGCAGGUGAGGCUGUACACGGCGGAAGGGGAACCGGCGGGGUACACGACCAAGUGGGAGGAGCUCCAUCCGGUGUCCCAGCACCUUCUCCUGCAAAUCGAGGACAAGAUAAGGGAUGAGAGGCAUGCGUGUGAGCAGUUGGAACAAUGCAGGCGCCUCAGUGACCCAUCAGUCUCCAACAAGGGUUUUGAACUGGAUGCUCGUCAGAUUACCCAGGAGAUUGGGUUAAUCUCCACCAUCAUCGACAGGGAGAAGGCUCCCAUUCAGAGCUUAAUGGCUGAUAUCAGAGAAAUAAUGUCGCAUGUGGAUUUUGCUAUAUGUGCAUAUGCAGAAGUGAGACGAAGGUUCGUCAGGGGAGGUGCUGAACUUGCAUACUGUGCUGGAUCUUCAAGCGCCCCUACUGAUUUCAGCCGGCACUCGACAAUGGCCCGAACCUUUCGUAACUGUUAUGGUUCUGUAUAUCGGCCUUCUCUCUUUAUGCAACACAUUGUUGAAAGAUUUGAGAAGCAGCUUGAAGAAUGUUGCAAAUCGAUUGGAGAGCUAGAGCAGCUUGUUCAAACGAAGAAUGAUAAGACCCAUCCAGCUUCUUUGAAAUCUCUGCCAAAAGUUAUGUCGAAUGUGCAUGAUUAUCUUAUGUAUGCUGCUUCUAAGGUGGAAAAUCUUCAUCAACAUGCCGAAACAAUAAGAACUCAAUAUCUUAAUGAUCUGCGAAACAGUGGUAACUGGAAUGAUCCAUUUGUUGAAGCGGAUAGAAAAGAGGCAGCGAAACAAGAAGCUGCUGCCAGAAUAGUCCAUCCAACAUUGCCUGUAACUGUUGCUCGUGGGCGGCAAUGGAUGGCGUGCGUAAUCGGUGACCUCGACCGCGACUGGGGAAGGAAGCUGCGGAGAAGCAACCAGUCAGGAACGAACGAGCGGUCGUUGUCCCAGUUGAGAUGUGGCACGAUUCAGUCGGGUCGUACAGGUUCCCUCCCGGCUAGUGGCUGCCUGAGAGAAAAGAAUCAGAAGAGUCACAAUCGCACGUGGGGCAUAACAACCAAAUACAACACGGGUAACAAACAAGAUGGCCCAAAUAACAGGAGAUUCACCGCUUCUUUUCAAAAUAUUUUCGAAACUUAUCCGGCCAUCGCACUCCGGCCUAGUUGGGGCCAGGCCAACCGCGAUCGAAAAAAGAUCUCCAAAAUCCUGGCGGCCCGCACGCUGCCACGCAUCCCUACAGAGCAUAAAGAAGCCGCCGCUCACCCUCCCUCCACCUUCCAUCUCCCACUUCUCCGCCCCCUCGCCCCCUCCGCCGCUGACCUCGUCGGCCACCGCCGCCGACGAGGCCUCCUAUCGCCGGAUACCCAUCCCCUAGGCACCGGCCCCUUCAUCAAUCUGAAACCCCCCUCCUCGCCCCGGCGAGCCGUGUUACCAUCCGACUCCGCCGAUCCUCCGAACCCUAGAUCCCCUGGGCACCCGAUCGCGCGCCCCUUCCGGAGGGGCGCCGUCCCGAUCGCCCCGGAGGAAAUGCUCCGCCGCGUCCCGUGA